UACGUAGGGUGCGAGCGUUGUCCGGAAUUACUGGGCGUAAGGGGUGCGUAGGCGGUUGGGUAAGUCUGACGUGAAAUCUCCGGGCCUAACCCGGAAACUGCGUUGGAUACUACCUGACUAGAGGAAUGGAGGGGAGACUGGAAUACUUGGUGUAGCAGUGAAAUGCGUAGAUAUCAAGUGGAACACCAGUGGCGAAGGCGAGUCUCUGGACAUUUCCUGACGCUGAGGCACGAAGGUCAGGGGAGCAAACGGG
rnacentral:rRNA from 1 species